UACGAAGGGGGGCUAGCGUUGUUCGGAAUUACUGGGCGUAAAGCGCACGUAGGCGGAUAUUUAAGUCAGGGGUGAAAUCCCAGAGCUCAACUCUGGAACUGCCUUUGAUACUGGGUAUCUCGAGUAUGGAAGAGGUGAGUGGAAUUCCGAGUGUAGAGGUGAAAUUCGUAGAUAUUCGGAGGAACACCAGUGGCGAAGGCGGCUCACUGGUCCAUUACUGACGCUGAGGUGCGAAAGCGUGGGGAGCAAAACAGG
rnacentral:rRNA from 1 species